GGGUGCGGGCGAGGGCACAGCGCCUGUGUUAGCUCACUGGUGGUCACGGGGGGUUCCAGCGACCCUCUGCGUGGUUGGCGUUCCUGGCGAGACCUUAGCACACAGCUCUUUCUCUGACGGCGGCUGAGGGGGCUGCGAGCGUGUGGGGGGAACAGCGGGUUCCCGGGGCAGCCUCGUCCUUUCUCCUUGAGUAGGAGGCAGUGGCCGCAGGGGGAGCACGAGAAGAUGCCCAGCCUUGAACACAGCGAAUGGCACUAAACGUUGGAAACUCAGGAAAACUGGCCAGACGGACACAAGGAAGCCAUCCCCCCGCCUCUGAGGGCGCGUGCGACUCCUCCUGGACCACCAGCAGCAUCUGUCAGGUCACGGGACUGCCGAGGUCUGCACAGCGGGGGUCUGGCUGCUUAGUGGAAAUCUGAGGUUUUCUUCAAGUGCAGUGUGCCCUUAUUUAGUUUUUUUUUUUCUGAAGAUGGGUCAUUGGGGCCUGGAGGCGGCUGGGUGGAGAGGGUUCUGCACAGAUCCCGGGGGCUGGGCUUUUUCUUUCUGCCGAGGGAUCAAAGCUGGCAGGUGGACAAGGAGUGUCCGAGAGACAAUGUGCAGGGAUCACCAGGGACCCCUUGGGUUAGAGAUUUUAAUCUUUCCCCCAUAGCGAAGGGGUUGUGUGUGUGUGUGUAUUUGUUGUUGAGACUUUAAAGGUAAUUUAGAGAACAAAACUAAGGAAGUAAAUGUCACAUGAACUCUGCUGAAAGUGAGAUGCGGGCGUCUUUUCUACAGGUGCACGUUUCCCCCCCAAACGGGACUGUAUACAUGAUUUUGUGACCUGCAUUUGUUGCUUAACGGUAAAUCGUGGUGUCUUUUGUCGUCUCUUAAAAAUUUAUCUCUUAUAAAUAAUUUUAACUCA